rnacentral:rRNA from 1 species
UAUUGAAGGUCCAACCUGCCCAGUGAAAUAAUUAUUUUAACGGCCGCGGUAUCCUAACCGUGCAAAGGUAGCAUAAUCACUUGUUCCCUAAAUAGGGACUUGCAUGAACGGUUAAAUGAGGGUAUAACUGUCUCCUGCCGCCAAUCAAUGAAAUUGACCUUACAGUACAAACGCUGUAAUUAACUUACAAGACGAGAAGACCCUGUGGAGCUUUAAAUCCUUACAUUAACUAAUUAUCCAUAACCACCAUUAGUAUAAUGCAAAUUUUAAGUUGGGGCGACUGUGGAACAAAAAAAAACCUCCAUACAACACGACUAAACCUCGCCACACCAGGCUUACAAGCCCAACCAAAACACUUGACCCAGGCAACCUGAAUACUGAACCAAGUUACCCCAGGGAUAACAGCGCCAUCCCCUUAAAGAGUCCACAUCGCCAGGGGGUUUACGACCUCGAUGUUGGAUCAGGACUUCCCAGUGGUGAAGCCGCUACUAAAGGUUCGUUUGUUCAACGAA